GCUUGGUGUUCACUUUUCUCUGCUGGGAGAAGGGGCCAUCCAGCCCAGAGCCUAGAGAAACAGGGAGAAGCGGAGAAACAGGGCCAUCAUGUGGCCCACGUAUGAGGGAGGUUUCAAAGUCCUCUUCUGAAGGAAGCCACCAUCAGGAGGCCAGGACCAGUCUGACCCACCCUCUGCGCUGUUAUUCUGGUGCAACUUCAUCCAAGGUCCUGAGGAUGCCCUCGACGCUCCCUUGACUUCAGUGACCCCAAAUGCUCUUUUCUUUAAAAACGUCACAAAUACAGGAUUGUUGGAUUUGAACCAGUGUCCACAGGUGCUGGGGUGUUAGGAUGCCACAGCAUCUGGCCACUUUCUCCAGCAUGAUCACGGCAAGGGAUGGGAGUUUGUGUGGGUAUAGAUGGCCUGCCACAGGGAUGCAAAGAGGUGGACACGACUUAGCAACUGAACAACACCAAAAAGACAACCUGCCACCUUGCGCCCCCCAGCUGCCCGGCAGAGGCCACCCUCCACUCUGUCUCUCCAGCCGUAAUUGUGUGCGGCUUUCUCAUUCCCGUCUUUGCAUCCUGGGGUUUCCCCCAAGGACUGAUGGAAUCACCACGGGAGCCUGGCAGGCCGGUGAACCAGGAGGGUCUCUGGGACUCUGGCCAGUGCCAGCUUCAGGGCUUGGCCUCGCCAACACAGUUGAUUAGAAGCCCUCCCACAGGCACCACUGUCCUUGACCAGGGAGGUGGAGGGCACCAGGCCAGUCUCCUUUUGGCACUGAGGCUGGAGACAGUGAGAGGUCAAGGACAGGCAGAAAGAGCAGCCCUGUUGCUCCCUUCCAUGUUGACCUCCCUUUCCAGACGCCCCCACAAUGUGGGCAGCGGGGUGAGACCCAUGGCAGUGGCCGGCGGAACCCCGGAUGCAUGGUGCUACCCUGCCUCCUGCCUGCAGCCUUCACGCCCGUUGGGGGCCUGGAGGUGGUGGGUCUGGGCUUGGCGCUGUGCCAGUGGGAAGGACCACAAGGAGUUUGAACAAAGGCAACCAAGGGGAAGCAUCCAUCUAGCAAGUUCUGAGCUGUGUUUCUGCAAAGCUGUGCCUAAAUGGCAUUUUGGACACACACGGAAAUCAGGAAGGUGGCAAGACAUAGCUCCAAUCUCAGGGGACCAUGGCCCAGAGGCACCGGGGUUUUUAAAACUGCACCAAAGCUUUACUAUAUGUCAGGUCCUGGGGAGCAGCAGUCCUGACCCCCAGCUGUGCUGACCUCUCUUGGGCAGCAGGGGGUCCCAGAGGCCCCAGCUUGGAGCGAUUAGGGCUGUCACAGGCACCCAAGCCCCCUCCUUGCAGGCUGCAUUUCUUGUCUGCUCUGCCAUGGAUAUCAGCCUGCUUUGGCCCAGAAGGGAGUGUCUCACUUCCAAGCAGAGGUGUUCAGGGCCCUUGUGUGGUCAGCAGGGUCCCACUCUCUCCUGCUCUGGCCCUAGAGUAACUCCCUGGGCGACCCUCCCAGGCAGGGAGCGUGGUGGGGUGGGGGGCUGUCGUGAGAUCUGGGGCCUGCUGGGGACGCAGGGUAAUCCAGCCCACUCUGACCCCCAGGACACACACGGAAAUCAGGAAGGUGGCAAGACAUAGCUCCAAUCUCAGGGGACCAUGGCCCAGAGGCACCGGGGUUUUUAAAACUGCACCAAAAUGAAACCGGAGCUGCGCCACGGGCCUGGAUCUACAGAUGAGCAUGGCCUGGACUUUCCCUGUUUCUUUCUUUCUCCAGAAGUUCUUGGCGAGAGAGCUGAUUGUGUGAAAUUUUUUCCAGGCGAGGGUAAUUUCCAAUUAUUCUAUGAUAUUUGCAAACACUGCGAGAGCAAGCAGAUCUGUGCUGUGACGUUUUCCAAGAAAUAAAGUCUCUCCAAGUGGCCCUAACUGCUUCCUCCAAUGUUGCAGAGAGAACGGGGCCCUCUGCCUGCUCACUCGGCACCAGUCCUGCAGGCAGUCUCAGCAGGCAUCUCAGGCCCUGGUCUGGGAACGUGUGCGUUCCUUCUCUGAGUUCUUUGUGGAAAGGCAGAGCCAAAAGCUCAGAUACAGCCUCAGCACAGCCCACCUGUACACUCAGGCCAAGGUGGCCUAUGGCCUGGUCCCGGCCACCUGUCCCCUCCAGGUGUCCCCAGGUGGGCUCUGUGGUGCAUGCUCCUCUUCUGGGCUGCUGCCCCCGCCCCAGGACCCAGCCCCCCCCCCCCCCCAGGCCCCCCGCCCCAGCCCCUGCCAUCUGCCUCAGCAGGCACUCCCCUGAGAUGACUGGCUCUCCAGAUUUAGUUCAGUUCAGUUCAGUCGCUCAGUCGUGUCCGAAUCUGCAACCCCCUGAAUCGCAGCACACCAGGCCUCCCUGUCCAUCACCAACUUCCGGAGUUCACUCAGACUCACGUCCGUUGAGUCAGCCAUCUCGUCCUCUGUCGUCCCCUUCUCCUCCUGCCCCCAAUCUCUCCCAGCAUCAGAGUCUUUUCCAGUGAGUCAACUCUUCGCAUGAGGUGGCCAAAGUACUGGAGUUUCAGCCUUAGCAUCAUUCCUUCCAAAGAAAUCCGAGGGCUGAUCUCCUUCAGAAUGGACUGGUUGGAUCUCCUUGCAGUCCAAGGGACUCUCAAGAGUCUUCUCCA
rnacentral:lncRNA from 1 species